UCUGGUGACCUGCUGGUUAGAGCAUCCGCCUAGGAUGCGGGAGGUCGUGGGUUCGAUCCCCGACCGAGUCAA